rnacentral:rRNA from 1 species
UUCUAAAGGUCGACCUCGGAUCGGGUAGGGAUACCCGCUAAACUUAAGCAUAUCAGUCAGCGGAGGAAAAGAAAGCAACUGCGAUUGCCCUAGUAACGGCGAGUGAAGCGGCAGCAGCCCAGAUUUAAAAUCUGGCCCUCUUGUGGGGUCCGAGUUGUAAUCUGCAGAGGAAGCGUCUGGCGCGGCGCCGGCCUAGUUCCCUGGAACGGGACGCCGUAGAGGGUGACAGCCCCGUACGGUCGGCCGCCAAGCCUGUGUGUCGCUCCUUCGAAGAGUCGCGUAGUUUGGGAAUGCUGCGCAAAGCGGGAGGUAUGCUCCUCCUAAGGCUAAAUACCGGCCAGAGACCGAUAGCGCACAAGUAGAGUGAUCGAAAGAUGAAAAGCACCUUGAAAAUGGGGUUAAAAAGUACGUGAAAUUGCCAAAGGGGAAGCGCUCGUGGCCAGACUCGUGCCCGGCGGAUCAUCCGGCCUUCUCGCCGGUGCACUCCGCCGGGCUCGGGCCAGCGUCGGUCGGCGCCGGUAACUAAAAUGGUGGCGCGAAGCGUGGCUCCCUUCGGGGAGUGUUAUA